rnacentral:rRNA from 1 species
UGGCGAACGGGUGAGUAACACGUGGGUGAUCUGCCUUGCACUUCGGGAUAAGCCUGGGAAACUGGGUCUAAUACCAGAUAGGACCAUGCUUUGGAUGGUGUGGUGGAAAGUUUUUUCGGUGUGGGAUGAGCUUGCGGCCUAUCAGCUUGUUGGUGGGGUAAUGGCCUACCAAGGCGUCGACGGGUAGCCGGCCUGAGAGGGUGUACGGCCACAUUGGGACUGAGAUACGGCCCAG